rnacentral:rRNA from 1 species
UACAGAGGUCCCGAGCGUUGUUCGGAUUCACUGGGCGUAAAGGGUGCGUAGGUGGCUUGGAAAGUUUGAUGUGAAAGCUCAGGGCUCAACCCUGAAAUGGCAUUGAAUACUAUCGAGCUGGAGGAUUGGAGGGGGGACUGGAAUUCUUGGUGUAGCAGUGAAAUGCGUAGAUAUCAAGAGGAACACCAGUGGCGAAGGCGAGACCCUGGACAACACCUGACACUGAGGCACGAAAGCCGGGGGAGCAAACAGG